AAUAGACCAAUUUUUCACUUUUUAUCUUCAAUUUUUAACUCUUUAUCUUAUCCAAAAAAUGUUUACGAUUAAUAUUUUUAUUUUUAUUAGAUGAUAAAUUAUAAAUAAUAUUUUACGUGUGACUAAUUUUUUUCUAAUUUUCUAAAAAAUUUUCAAAUACACAGAUGGUCAAACGUUGGACACGAAAACCGAAGAAUUCGUUUUUU
rnacentral:pre_miRNA from 1 species